GACGAACGCUGGCGGCGUGCUUAACACAUGCAAGUCGAACGGAAAGGCCCUGCUUUUGUGGGGUGCUCGAGUGGCGAACGGGUGAGUAACACGUGAGUAACCUGCCCUUGACUUUGGGAUAACUUCAGGAAACUGGGGCUAAUACCGGAUAGGAGCUCCUGCUCCAUGGUGGGGGUUGGAAAGUUUCGGCGGUUGGGGAUGGACUCGCGGCUUAUCAGCCUGUUGGUGGGGUAGUGGCUUACCAAGGCUUUGACGGGUAGCCGGCCUGAGAGGGUGACCGGCCACAUUGGGACUGAGCUACGGACCAGACUCCUACGGGAGGCAGCAGUGGGGAAUAUUGCACAAUGGGCGGAAGCCUGAUGCAGCAACGCCGCGUGCGGGAUGACGGCCUUCGGGUUGUAAACCGCUUUCGCCUGUGACGAAGCGUGAGUGACGGUAAUGGGUAAAGAAGCACCGGCUAACUACGUG
rnacentral:rRNA from 1 species